UACGUAGGUGACAAGCGUUGUCCGGAUUUACUGGGCGUAAAGAGCGCGCAGGCGGUCGUUCAAGUCGAGUGUGAAAGCCCCCGGCUCAACUGGGGAGGGUCAUUCGAUACUGAUCGACUCGAAGGCAGGAGAGGGUAGUGGAAUUCCCGGUGUAGUGGUGAAAUGCGUAGAUAUCGGGAGGAACACCAGUGGCGAAGGCGACUACCUGGCCUGUUCUUGACGCUGAGGCGCGAAAGCGUGGGGAGCGAUCCGG
rnacentral:rRNA from 1 species